rnacentral:rRNA from 1 species
UACGUAGGGUGCAAGCGUUAAUCGGAAUUACUGGGCGUAAAGCGUGCGCAGGCGGCUUUGCAAGACAGAUGUGAAAUCCCCGGGCUUAACCUGGGAACUGCAUUUGUGACUGCAUGGCUAGAGUGCGGCAGAGGGGGAUGGAAUUCCGCGUGUAGCAGUGAAAUGCGCAGAUAUGCGGAGGAACACCGAUGGCGAAGGCAAUUCUCUGGGCCGGUACUGACGCUGAUGCACGAAAGCGUGGGGAGCAAACAGG